UCUACAUUCAUAAUGAAGGUUUGAGACAAGAAGAAAGGUCCAGUACAAUAACCACUCUGAUAAAGUAGUCAAAUAGUUGAGUGUCUGCAUUAAAGGACAAUUUAUUUCUGUUUACAAACCACACUAUAUUUAACAGUUUAUAAACUGAGCAGAGACGAGACAGUGUCUAACAGUUUUAUGAUGUUUGUUUAUAGCCAUGGUUUUAUAUGAUGACAGGACGUAGGUGUUGACGACAGGACGUAUGGGUGUUGAUGACAGGAUGUAGGUGUUGACGACAGGAUGUAACAAUGUUGACGACAGCGUGCAUAGAAGUUGAUGAGAGGACAUAGGUGUUGACGACAGGACGUAUGCGUUGGUGACAGGAUGCAGGCGUUGGCGACAGGACGUAUAGGUGUUGACGACAGGACGUAUAGGCAUUGACAACAGGACGUAUAGGUGUUGACGGCAGAUUGUACUGUAAUGGCAUUGGUGACAGGACUUAUAGGACUUGACGACAGGAUGUACUGUAUAGGUCUUGGCAACAGGACGCAUAGGUGUUGACGACAGGACGAGUAGGACAAAAUAGUAUAAAAAUAACACAUAUUUUAUAUAUCUGAUCAAAUAAAUAUGAGCUUGAAUGUAUCUGUUGACAGCAGCAGCUAGGUGGAGUGUUCGUUAUUAACCGUUUUCUUUCUCACCUCGUCAGGUCGGCAGCUCUUCAGUUGAUCUUUAAGAGAAGAAACAAACAACACUGUCGAUGUUUUUAAGUUUCUCCACAAAGGGGAGCAGCAGCUGCUGGACUGCAGCGUCGUUCCUCGGUAUCAGCUUCAUUUCUUUAUCUAUGACAGAGAUGGACUUCUCUGUCCCAUAGUACUGGACGAUUAUAUGAGGGAUAUCUUGU